rnacentral:rRNA from 1 species
AACGAACGCUGGCGGCAGGCUUAACACAUGCAAGUCGAACGCCCCGCAAGGGGAGUGGCAGACGGGUGAGUAACGCGUGGGAAUCUACCCAGAACUUCGGAACAACUGAGGGAAACUUCAGCUAAUACCGGAUACGCCCUACGGGGGAAAGAUUUAUCGGUUUUGGAUGAGCCCGCGUUGGAUUAGCUAGUUGGUGGGGUAAUGGCCUACCAAGGCGACGAUCCAUAGCUGGUCUGAGAGGAUGAUCAGCCACACUGGGACUGAGACACGGCCCAGACUCCUACGGGAGGCAGCAGUGGGGAAUAUUGGACAAUGGGCGAAAGCCUGAUCCAGCCAUGCCGCGUGAGUGAUGAAGGCCUUAGGGUUGUAAAGCUCUUUCAGUAGGGAAGAUAAUGACGGUACCUACAGAAGAAGCCCCGGCUAACUUCGUGCCAGCCGCCGCAGUAAGAC